rnacentral:rRNA from 1 species
GAUGAACGCUGACAGAAUGCUUAACACAUGCAAGUCGAUGGGGAAGUGGUGCUUGCACCCUGGCAACCAUGGCGGACGGGUGAGUAACGCGUAAGGGACUUACCUGCAGGACUGGGAUAACAGGGGGAAACUCCUGACAAGACCGGAUAAUGUCAUGGAGCUGCAUGGCUUUAUGAUGAAAGGAGACGCCUGCGGAGAGCCUUGCGUCCUAUUAGCUAGUUGGUGAGGUAAUGGCUCACCAAGGCGAAGAUAGGUAGCCGGCCUGAGAGGGUGGACGGCCACAAGGGGACUGAGAGACGGCCCUUACUCCUACGGGAGGCAGCAGUGGGGAAUAUUGGACAAUGGGGGCAACCCUGAUCCAGCAAUUCUGUGUGCACGAAGAAGGUUUUCGGAUUGUAAAGUGCUUUCAGCAGGGAAGAAGUAAGUGACGGUACCUGCAGAAGAAGCGACGGCUAAAUACGUG